AACGAACGCUGGCGGCGUGGAUAAGACAUGCAAGUCGAACGGAACUAUCAGAGUAGCAAUACAAUGAUAGUUCAGUGGCGAACGGGUGCGUAACACGUGGAUACAUUCCGGGAAGCGGGGGAUAGCCCAGGGAAACUUGGAUUAAUACCGCAUGUGGUCGAAAGACUAAAGACGGGGACCGCAAGGCCUGUCACUUCCCGAUUGGUCCGCGGCCUAUCAGCUAGUUGGCGGGGUAAAAGCCCACCAAGGCUACGACGGGUAGCUGGUCUUAGAGGACGACCAGCCACACUGGAACUGAGACACGGUCCAGACACCUACGGGUGGCAGCAGUCGAGAAUUUUUCACAAUGGGCGCAAGCCUGAUGGAGCGACGCCGCGUGGGGGAUGAAGGGCUUCGGCUCGUAAACCCCUGUCAUUCGCGAACAAAGGUGCCGGCCUAACAUGCCGUCGCCUGAUAGUAGCGGAAGAGGAAGGGACGGCUAACUCUGUGCCAGCAGCCGC
rnacentral:rRNA from 1 species